rnacentral:sRNA from 1 species
UCCUAGUCCUGACAGUAGUGAAAAGCCUUUAAGGAAUGAAGGCUACUUUUUCAUGAAGCUACAGAGCGACCAACGGAAGCUCCUGUAGCUUCUUAGAAAAAGAGCCUGAAGCCUUAAAGCUUGUAAGGAAUGGCAGGGAGAUAC